AGUGAACGCUGGCGGUAGGCCUACCUCAUGCAAGUCGACCGGUAGCACAGUAAGUGCUUGCUCUUACGGGUGGCGAGUGGCGGACGGGUGAGGAAUACACCGGAAUCUACUUUUUCGUGGGGGAUAACGUAGGGACACUUACGCUAAUACCGCAUACGACCUACGGGUGAAAGCAGGGGAUCUUCGGACCUUGCGCGAUUGAAUGAGCCGAUGUCGGAUUAGCUAGUUGGCGGGGUAAAGGCCCACCAAGGCGACGAUCCGUAGCUGGUCUGAGAGGAUGAGCAGACACUCUGGAGCUGAGACAGGGUCCAGACUCCGACAGGAGGCAGCAGUGGGGAAUAUUGGACAAAGGACACAAGCCUAAUCCAACCAUACCGCGUGGGUGAAGAAGGCCUUCGGGUUGUAAAGCCCUUUUGGUGAGAAAGAAAAGCAGCAGGUUAAUACCCCGCUGUUCUGACGGUACCCAAAGAAUAAGCACCGGCUAACUUCG
rnacentral:rRNA from 1 species